AGAGCGAACGCUGGCGGCGUGCUUAACACAUGCAAGUCGAACGCGCAGCAUUCUGUAGCAAUACAGGGUGUGGGCGCGUGGCGAACGGGUGCGUAACACGUGGAUAACCUUCCUUCAGGUGGGGAAUAACCCAGUGAAAAUUGGGCUAAUACCGCAUAACAUGACGAUGCCACAUGGUGUUGUCUUCAAAGGCGCAAGUCGCCAGAAGAGGGAUCCGCGGCCGAUUAGCUUGUUGGCGAGGUAAUGGCUCACCAAGGCAAUGAUCGGUAGCCGGACUGAGAGGUUGGCCGGCCACACUGGAACUGAGACACGGUCCAGACUCCUACGGGAGGCAGCAGUGGGGAAUCUUGCACAAUGGACGAAAGUCUGAUGCAGCAACGCCGCGUGGGGAUGAAGCUUUCGGAGUGUAAACCCUUUCGACCCGGAAGAAUGCCCGCAAGGUUGACGGUACGGGUAUAAGAAGCCCGGCUAACUACGCGCCAGCAGCCGCGGUAAC
rnacentral:rRNA from 1 species